rnacentral:ncRNA from 2 species
GGGAUAGCUCAGUUGGUAGAGCAGAG